GCCUGUAGUCGCAGCUACUUGGAUGGCUGAGGUGGGAGGAUCACUUGGGCCCAGGAGUUCUGGGUUAUAGUGCACUAUGCCGAUCGGGUGUCCACACUAAGUUCGGCAUCAAUAUGGUGACCUCCCGGGAGUGAGGGACCACCAAGUUGCCUAAGGAGGGAUGAACUGGCCCAGGUUGGAAACAGAACAGGUCAAAACUCCCGUGCUGAUCAGUAGUGGGAUCCUGCCUGUGAACAGCUACUGCACUCCAGCCUGGACAACACAGGGAGAGACCCUGUCUCUU
ensembl:misc_RNA Metazoa_SRP Metazoan signal recognition particle RNA